rnacentral:rRNA from 1 species
GGGAGCGUGCCCUCCGGUCUGGGAUAACCCUGGGAAACUAGGGCUAAUACCGGAUACGUGCUUUGGCAGAAAGGUUUACUGCCGGAGGAUCGGCCCGCGUCUGAUUAGCUUGUUGGUGGGGUAACGGCCUACCAAGGCGACGAUCAGUAGCUGGUCUGAGAGGAUGAUCAGCCACACUGGGACUGAGACACGGCCCAGACUCCUACGGGAGGCAGCAGUGGGGAAUAUUGGACAAUGGGCGCAAGCCUGAUCCAGCCAUGCCGCGUGAGUGAUGACGGCCUUAGGGUUGUAAAGCUCUUUUCUCCGGGACGAUAAUGACGGUACCGGAGGAAUAAGCCCCGGCUAACUUCGUGCCAGCAGCCGCGGUAAUACGAAGGGGGCUAGCGUUGCUCGGAAUCACUGGGCGUAAAGGGCGCGUAGGCGGCGUUUUAAGUCGGGGGUGAAAGCCUGUGGCUCAACCACAGAAUGGCCUUCGAUACUGGGACGCUUGAGUAUGGUAGAGGUUGGUGGAACUGCGAGU